GGCAAGGUGGCCGAGUGGUUAAGGCGCUGUGUUUAGGCUGCUUAUAUAGCUUAAAUGUCCGCAGUGGGCAACCGCGUGGUAUGAUCUAAUCCUACUUGUUG